rnacentral:rRNA from 1 species
GUCUAUGGCUACACCACGCUGAAUGCGCCCCAUCCCAUCUGAUCUUGGAAGCUAAGCAGGGUCGGGCCCGGUUGGUUCUUGGAUGGGAGACCUCCUGGGAAUACCAGGUGCUGUAGGUU